GAGGGUAUAGCUCAGUGGUAGAGCGCGUGCCUAGCAAGCAGGAGGUCCUGGGUUCAAUCCCCAAUAUCUCCA
rnacentral:tRNA from 1 species